rnacentral:lncRNA from 12 species
CCUGGUCAUCCCCACCUGGGGCCUCUCUCCACCCUGCCCACCUCCCUAUUUCAGCCCAGAUUGGUCCCAUUGAUUUGGGUUUUGGUGGUGCUGUAAUAGUGCUGCUCUCUUGCUCCUUGCGUGGUUGUGGGCUGAUGUCCUGGGCUGUCCCUGUGCCCUGGGAGGUGACAGAGAGGUGUGGGGGCUCUCUCUUCCCUGCUCUGCUCAGGUAAAUUUUACUGAGGAAAAAAUGCCACGCUCAUCUCAGUUUUCCUUCACUUCUCUCAUCUGGUGCAAAGAUGUACAGCUGAGACUCUCCAUGGAAGCCUUCCAGACCAGGUAGGUUUUGUCCCAGAUAUUUCCAGCCUGGCAGCUCUCUUUGCA